UAUUUAUGUUUCAUUUCAUUCUAAACGACAUACAUCCGAGGUUGUGAAAAACAUAGACCUGAGGGAAAGCCGGCUUCGAAUUGAAUUUGAAGCACAGCAGCCCCCACUCGGAAUUCAUUCAUCCAGGGUCUACAAUAUGUGCACAGUUGGAGAGAUGAUAAAGAUGACAAGCGUGCACAUGUCCUGGAGGGACCAGCGACAACCUGUUCAAGUUUAUUCGAUAAUGAUCCUUCCGCAGGUUCACCUACGGAAA
rnacentral:misc_RNA from 1 species